AUUGAACGCUGGCGGCAGGCUUAACACAUGCAAGUCGAGCGGGGUGAUGGUGCUUGCACUAUCACUUAGCGGCGGACGGGUGAGUAAUGCUUAGGAAUCUGCCUAUUAGUGGGGGACAACAUCUCGAAAGGGAUGCUAAUACCGCAUACGUCCUACGGGAGAAAGCAGGGGAUCACUUGUGACCUUGCGCUAAUAGAUGAGCCUAAGUCGGAUUAGCUAGUUGGUGGGGUAAAGGCCUACCAAGGCGACGAUCUGUAGCGGGUCUGAGAGGGUGAGCCGCCAAACUGGGACUGGGAAACCGCCCAGACUCCUACGGGACGCAGCAGUGGGGAAUAUUGGACAAUGGGGGGAACCCUGAUCCAGCCAUGCCGCGUGUGUGAAGAAGGCCUUAUGGUUGUAAAGCACUUUAAGCGAGGAGGAGGCUCUUUUGGUUAAUACCCAAGAUGAGUGGACGUUACUCGCAGAAUAAGCACCGGCUAACUCUGUGCCAGCAGCCGCCGUAA
rnacentral:rRNA from 1 species